UGUGUGAAGAACAAUAAACGUCAUGUUGCUAUGCCAGUGACAAAAGGAAACGUCGGCCAGUGACCGCGGUCAAGUGCAACAACAACAACAAAUGUCCUGACACCUGUUAUAGAAGUAAUACGUUUGAGUGAAUGAAAAGGCAUAGACCUAAGUAAAAUAAGAAAUUCGUUUGUUGGGACUUGAUUGAGGCAGAAGAAUAGCCGAUUUACUUAUGGCAAGUCCAGAGAGAAAUAAGAAGAUUUUGCUUGAUAUGGUGAAACAGCCCAGCAACGACCAUUGUGCCGACUGUGGGGCCCCUGAGCCAGACUGGGCAUCAUACAAACUUGGUGUGUUUGUAUGUGUGAACUGUUCUGGGACACAUCGGGACUUUCCUGCCAUCAGCCAGAUAAAGUCCAUACGCUUGGAUUUCUGGGAUGAUUCCCUAGUAGAGUUUAUGAAGACAAGGGGUAACGCUGCAGCCAAUGCGUUCUAUGAGAAGUGUGUUCCGCCGUUCUACUACCGGCCACAGAAGAAGGACUGUGUUGUUCUUAAAGAUCAGUGGAUACGUGCUAAGUAUGAGAGGAGAGAAUUCACAGGAGAGAAUAACUCCCUUCAACAAGUUUAUAGUUCAGGACUUUACGAAGGAAUACUAUGGAAGAAAGGCAAGGACAACAAGCAGUUCCUGAAAAGGAGAUUCCUGCUCUCUGAAACAGACUUCACCUUGAGAUACUUCACCAAGGAGGAUUCCAAGAAGCCCAAAGCAGUCAUCUCUAUGAAGGACCUCAAUGCCGUGUUCCAGCCGGAAAAGAUAGGCCACGCCCACGGGCUGCAAAUCUCCUACCUGGAGGAAGAACGAACCAGAAACCUGUUUGUUUACCAUGACAACAGCCAGGAAAUUGUGUCCUGUUUCAAUGCGAUUCGGGCCACCCGGUUUGCUUACCUCAAGAAAGUCGACCCUAAUGCCAGGGAGUGUGACCUCGUACCUUUGAUAACCAGAAGUAGCAUUAAAGAAGGCUACAUGGAGAAAACCGGCCCAACGCCAGGGCUGAUUCUGUGUCUGUUCUUAGCAAUGGGAGACAUUCAAGAAGAGAUGGUUCGUCUUAAACUUAACGGACAGAAAGAUGUCCUACUUCAAAACAUCACUGGAUGCUUUGGAACUAGGAGCUGUCUUCAUCGGCACAGAGGUCCAUGGCUACUCUGUGAGGGAGGUCCAGCCUAAGGGGAACCGCAGUGGCAGGUGGAGGUUCGGGGUCACCUUGGAGACGCCAGACAGGCAGUUUGUCUUCCUGUGUGACCAGGAGCAGGACCAGAGGGAGUGGAUAGAAGCCUUAAAACUACUGAGGCAAACAUGAGAAGGAUGACAAAAUGAAUGGUGUAUAAACCGGAGGAAAGGAAAGCAGCAUUUACAGGAAGAAAUGGCAAUGUGUGAGGCUGGCUGCCUGUUUCAGAGAGCCUACCAGUGACAGGAGGAGGCUUCUCACAAGAGGGGAUCAGUGAACUCUUCAAUGGAGUCAUGUUUAUCGGAAAAUGAUGAGAGGCUAAAUGAACUCAGGCUAAAGAGGCUAAACGAACUGAAGAGCUGCCAAUGUGGACCAGCACUGGUAAUCAUUGCAAGUCACCAUUAUCCAGGGCACCUUGCAAACCGGUGACAGGACUGACUAUUAUGAGAUGGGAACUGAUGUCAUUGUCGGGGACAUUGGGAAUGUAAUAUAUACUUUCUAUUAACUACUGUUCAUAUACACUGAGCGUAUAAAACAUUAAGGACACCUGUUCUUUCCAUGACAUAGACUGACCAGGUGAAGGCUAUGAUCCCUUAUUGAUGUCACUUGUUAAAUCCACUUCAAUCAGUGUCGAUGACGGGGAGGAGGUUAAAUAAGGAUUUGUAAGCCUUGAGACAAUGGAGACAUGGAUUGUGUAUGUGUGCCAUUCAGAGGGUGAAUGGGCAAGACAAAAUAUUGAAGUGCCUUUGAACAGGAUAUGUUAGAAGGUGCCAGGCGCACCAGUUUGUGUCAAGAACUGCAACGCUGCUGGGUUUUUCAUGCUCAGUAGUCACGUGUGUAUCAAGAAUGGUCCACCACCCAAAAGGACAUCCAGCCAACUUGACACAACUGUGGGAAGCAUUGGAGUCCACACGGGCCAUGUUGGGCCUGCAUCCCUGACACCUUGUACAGGCCAUGACAUGUGACAGACCAAUACCUCACGAGGUAUUGUUCUCAAAAUAAGGUCUGGGCAUACUGCCAAAUUGCAGCUACUGAUAGUGAGGAUUCGUUCAGUCAGUCACUUGCCUGAACACAGAAAUUGGUUAUAAGAAAAGCACUAAAAUUAAAACUGCCAUUACAAAGGCAGUCCCCACCGUUACCAGGAUGUUAAGGAUGUUGCUCUGGGUGGCCAGUCCACCUCACCCCACAGGAGCAACAGAACAGCCACCAACUCCUUGAGACAAAUCAAAUGCUCCUUUAGAGCUGCAUCUGGUGGCACCUCACAGAGACUGGAGAACAGCCGGCAACACUGCCCCCACACCACUCUCCACCACUUCUCUUCCCAGGAACUGCAUGCAGAUACACUGAGCUAUGCCCAAGCCGUACACAGUCAAAGAGGCCCAAUACAGAUUUUGUAGCCACACUGCCCUCCACACCAACCUCUUCAAUUCCCCCUAGAACCUCCCUCCUAUGCCACCAGACCAGGCCCAUCACAGUACAGCUAAACCAGACCCAGCCCAUCACAGCAUAUCUGUCACACCCUGAUCUGUUUCACCUGUCCUUGUGCUUGUCUCCACCCCCCUCCAGGUGUCAUCCAUCUUCCCCAUUAUCCCCUGGGUACUGAUACCUGUGUUCUCUGUUUGCCUGUUGCAGGUUCGUCUUGUUUGUCAAGUCAACCAGCAUUUUGUCUCAGCUCCUGCUUUUCUCCAGUCUCUCUUUUUCUCGCCCUCCUGGUUUAGACCCUUGCCUGUCCUGACUCUGAAACCUGCCUGCCUGACCACUCUGCCUGCCCCUGACCCUGAGCAUGCCUGCCGUCCUGUGCCGUUUCCCAAUACUCUGGAUUAUCGACCCCUGCCUGCCUUGAUCUGUCGUUUGCCUACCACUAUUACUGUAAUAAAAAAAAUCUUCAACACAGUCUGCAUUGGGGUCUUACCUGAAACCUAAUAUCUCUACCAGACCCGGCCCAUCACAGCACACUGUCGAGGGUAGUGCACCACAUGAUGCAGUCCACACCAUGCAUCAUUCACAUCAUCAGCCCUCAUAUGCUGAGAGUUUGGAGCUUCGCCAGCCACACUGCCCUCCACACCACCCUCCUCAAUUCCCGCCACAACCUCUCUCCCAGGCUAGUUUCGGUUUCCCUCCCUACUCCCAUCCCCAGGUCAGGCCUGAGACACUCCUUCCCCCCAUGGAAGCCCCAACCCUGCAACAGGAGCCACACCAAGGCCUCUUGUGCACACCCAGAAUACAGCAUUGGCAGCCACUCCGGUCCUCUGUAGCAGCUCCACUCCUUUGGUGGGAGCUUCAUCCGGGUGGACUGAGCUCUGCCAACACUGCUCUCCCAGUUCCCGCCCCAGCCUCUGCGUCCUGUGACUUGAGGGACGACUGCCAAAUGCUCAGUUUGUUCUGCUCUCACGUGGUUGCCAGGGGCCUUGGCAAAGGUUCAGCUCACUCAAAAAAUUGUUACAGAUGAUCUUAUGCCUGUUAACUCUUAUGUGAAUAAGCUGAAUACGCCCUCUGACUUUAAAUCUCGAAGGGGGCUUGGGAUAAUGCACCAAAAUGUGCGAAGUAUGAUUUUAAAAAUGAACACAAUCGACAUUUGAGUACAAGACUAGUGUCCUGACGUUCUGGUUCUCUCGGAAACAUGGUUCAAUGGUUCUGUCUCUGAUAAAGACAUUGAAGUAAAUGAUUAUAAUGUAUUUAGAUGUGACAGAUUACAGAAAGGGGGAGGAGUGGCCAUAUAUGUCAAAUAUAACUCACGGUGUCAUAAGAAUAAAUGCACCCCCCUCCCCAACAUUAAAAAUAUUUUCACAUGACCCUCCACUUUUACUGUGAAAUACAUUUAACACCCUCCCCCUCAUAGUAUGAACUAAAAAAUAAUGUUUUUGACCACAAGUAACAAUAACUGUAGUGACCCUAUGUUCAUAAAUGUUGAAAUUGAAUUUGCCCCUUCAGAAUACUUUUGUAGCUCAGUUGAUGCCAAGCAGGGCUACUUGGACUGACCCCAUUUUGGUUGACUGAGAUUUCUUGGGAUUGAGAAGUUUCAAAUAUACACUACCAGUCAAAAGUAUGGACACACCUACUCAUUCUAGGAUUUUUCUUUAUUUUUACUAUUUUUUACAUUGUAGAAUAAUAUUGAAUACAUCAAAACUAUGAAAUAACACAUCACAUAGUAACCAAAAUAGUGUUGAACAAAUCUAAAUAUAUUUUAGAAUUUAGAUUCAAAGUAGCCACCCUUUGCCUUGAUGACAGCUUUGCACAGUCUUGGCAUUCUCUCAACCAGCUUCACCAGGAAUGCUUUUCCAACAGUCUUGAAGGAGUUCCCACAUAUGCUGAGCACUUGUUAGCUGCUUUUCCUUCAUGCUGCGGUCCAACUCAUCCCAAACCAUCUCAAUUGAAUAGAGAUCAGGUGAUUGUGGAGGCCAGGUCAUCUGACGCAGCACUCAAUUCGACCAUGAAGGCCUGAUUCACUCAGUUUCCUCUGAACAGUUGAUGUUGAAAUGUGUCUGUUACUUGAACUCUGUGAAUCAUUUACUUGGGCUGCAAUCUGAGGUGCAGUUAUUAUAAUGAACUUAACCUCUCCAGCAGAGGUAACUCUGGGUCUUCCUUUCAUGUGGCAGUCCUCAUGAAAGCCAGUUUCAUCAUAGCACUUCAUGGUUUUUGUGACUGCACUUGAAGAAACUUUCAAAGUUAUUGAAGUUUUCCAGAUUGACUGACCUUCUUGUCUUAAAGUAAUGAUAGACUAUCGUUUCUCUUUGUUUAUUUGAGCUGUUCUUGCCAUAAUAUGGACUUGGUCUUUUACCAAAUAGGGCUAUCAAGUGUAUACCCACCCUACCUUGUCACAACACAACUGAUUGGCUGAAACACAUUGAGAAGGAAAGAAAUUCCACAAAUGAACUUUUAACAAGGCACACCUGUUAAGUGAAAUGCAUUCCAGGUGACUACCGCAUGAAGCUGGUUGAGAGAAUGCCAAGCGUGUGCAAAGCUGUCAUCAAGGCAAAGGGUGGCUACUUUGAAGAAUCUCAAAUAUAUUUUGUUUUGUUUAACACUUUUUUGGUUAAUACAUGAUUCCAUAUGUGUUAUCUCUUGUUGUGAUGUGUGUUUUGUCCUAUAUUUAUAUUGUAUUAAAAAAAAAAUAUAUAUAUAAUAAUCCCAGGCCCCUGUCUCCGCAUGAGACCUUUUGCCUUUUGGUAGGCCGUCAUUGUAAAUAAGAAUUUGUUCUUAACUGACUUGCCUAGUUAAAUAAAGGUUGUCACGCCCUGA